rnacentral:tRNA from 1 species
GAGGAUAUAGCUCAGUUGGUAGAGUGCUUGCUUUGCAAGCACACAGCUCUGGGUUCAAUCCCCAGCACCCCG